GGGUCCUUCGCUUAGUGGUAGAGCAUUUAACUGCAGAUUAAGAGGUCACCAGUUCAACCCUGGUAGGGCCUU
rnacentral:tRNA from 1 species